GACGUAGGGCGCGAGCGUUGUCCGGAUUUAUUGGGCGUAAAGAGCUCGUAGGCGGCUUGUUGCGUCGACCGUGAAAACCCGGGGCUCAACUUCGGGCUUGCGGUCGAUACGGGCGGGCUAGAGUUCGGUAGGGGAGAGUGGAAUUCCCGGUGUAGCGGUGAAAUGCGCAGAUAUCGGGAAGAACACCCGUGGCGAAGGCGGCUCUCUGGGACGGUACUGACGCUGAGACGCGAAAGCGUGGGGAGCGAACAGG
rnacentral:rRNA from 1 species